GAAGAUUGUAUCUGGAAUGCAGCGUUCAAGAAAGAUUAAUCCAAACUAAAACAGGUGCAGAAAAUGACUACCAUGAUGAUAAAGAUGGUGGGCAGGCACUUUUAAACUGCGCACAUGUGCAGAAGGGCUCGCUGAUGGUGCCGCGCCACUCUACGGGCUGGGGGGGUCUCUGCCCCAUGGAAGAAGGGGACAGGCAUUGGACAGAAGGCAAGCGUUGGUUUCUUUGUCCUGUCAAAAAUUCUCUGCCUCUAGACUUCUGGCUGCCCUGGGCUUUUACCCAGGUUUAUGUCAUUCUGAGCUAAAUUCAGUCCAUGUUGCUCACAGAAGCCAUGUAGAAGCAACAUCUUUUAACUGUUGACCUCCUUGGUUUUGGUUAGGUAUAAUGUGGCCUCAUUUGUGUCAUUCUAGCAAUAGGUCAAAACUUAUGCUGUAUACUAGAUACUGUUUAUUUAAUUCUAUUAUCUAAUUUUUCAAUGAGAUUAAAAAGUGUAUAUAACAUUCUAAAUUUUGGGUGGCCUGAAUUUAAGUGUCCGAAUCCUUAUAUAAUUUUUUGAUUAUCUAUCUAGUUGGUUUAAUAAAAGGCAUCGCCUCU